GAUGAACGCUGGCGGCGUGCUUAACACAUGCAAGUCGAACGGGAAACCUUUUAUUGAAGCUUCGGCAGAUUUAGCUGGUUUCUAGUGGCGGACGGGUGAGUAACGCGUGGGUAACCUGCCCUAUACAGGGGGAUAACAACCAGAAAUGGUUGCUAAUACCGCAUAAGCGCACAGGACCGCAUGGUCCGGUGUGAAAAACUCCGGUGGUAUAGGAUGGACCCGCGUUGGAUUAGCCAGUUGGCAGGGUAACGGCCUACCAAAGCGACGAUCCAUAGCCGGCCUGAGAGGGUGAACGGCCACAUUGGGACUGAGACACGGCCCAGACUCCUACGGGAGGCAGCAGUGGGGAAUAUUGCACAAUGGGGGAAACCCUGAUGCAGCGACGCCGCGUGAAGGAAGAAGUAUCUCGGUAUGUAAACUUCUAUCAGCAGGGAAGAUAGUGACGGUAC
rnacentral:rRNA from 1 species